rnacentral:rRNA from 1 species
UGGGGAAUAUUGGACAAUGGGCGAAAGCCUGAUCCAGCAAUGCCGCGUGGGUGAAGAAGGUCUUCGGAUUGUAAAGCCCUUUCGGCGGGGACGAUGAUGACGGUACCCGCAGAAGAAGCUCCGGCUAACUUCGUGCCAGCAGCCGCGGUAAUACGAAGGGGGCUAGCGUUGCUCGGAAUGACUGGGCGUAAAGGGCGCGUAGGCGGUUUAGUGAGUUGGGCGUGAAAUUCCCGGGCUUAACCUGGGGGCUGCGUUCGAUACCACUAGGCUUGAGUGUGGAAGAGGGUCGUGGAAUUCCCAGUGUAGAGGUGAAAUUCGUAGAUAUUGGGAAGAACACCGGUGGCGAAGGCGGCGACCUGGUCCAUUACUGACGCUGAGGCGCGAAAGCGUGGGGAGCAAACA